rnacentral:lncRNA from 1 species
AGAGUCUUGGGGAUCCAAGUGGCGGCCGGUGAAACCACGGAUGAACGGGAAGCCUGCCCACAGUAAAGGAAUCCGUUCGAAAGCUACCCACUCUCUCUCAAGUGCAUCCAUGGCUCCUGAGUCCUGUGUCUGUCUCUCAUGCUCGUUCAUCACGCUGUGGUAAUGGCUGCUUCUGUCGGCCAGACCUGUGCUCCGCCCUGGGCUCACUGAGGAGAGGACCUGGAGGAGGCAUUGCGGGAUGGCUGCUGGAAAAAAUGAACCAACCAACGAUGGUGAAGUUAACCUUGAAUGACAGUCGCUUUUCCAAGUCCGAAUUAUUUCAUUUCUUCUGCUGUUUGGAGUUCUCAUCUCUCAAACUUGGAUGGGCAGGUCUUCCUUAGCCGCGCCGGUGGGCGUCUUGUUCACCUUUGCACAUUCCCACUUACGACCUCCAUCAGGGACUAGGGUAAUGCCUUGCUCUCAGCACAUGCUCUACAGACGUGAACGUUUUCCUUUAGUAGGAAACAAGAAAUGAAAAAUGAAGAGAAGGGCAGCCCCAGUGGCUCAGCGGUUUAGCGCCGCCUUCAGCCCAGGGCGUGAUCCUGGAGACCCAGGAUCGAGACCCAGGAUCGACUCCCGCAUGGGGCUCCCCGCAUGGGGCUCCCUGCAUGGAGCCUGCUUCUGCCUCUGCCUGUGACCCUGUCUCUCAUGAAUAAAUAAAUAAAAUCUUAAAAAAAAGAAGAGAGAGAAGAAAUCACAGUAGAGCCAGAGUAGGAAAACAAAGAGAGACCAAAGACUUUUAAGAAGAAUCUUAGGAACAAAGGUGGUUUCCGUUUCAUUUCUACAGCCCUCCCUGAAUGGCCCUAACUUAUUCUGCCUCAGUCUCUCAAUCUGCUAACGGUUCCAUGUACAAUACCUAUUUAGAGCCUUAAGAAGUGGUUUUUAUUCUCUUUUCUCACAUCACGACCAUGAAUCUUACCUCUGCAACUGUACUCUGAGUUCUUUGAGCGUAGGGACUGGGUCUUACUCUGCUGUUGGACAUACCUGCAACUGGACAUACCUUGAGACUUGCUGGUUCAGUUAGGUGUCAUUGCCAACAGAAUGGUUUCCCUGACUGCCCCUCUCUCUAACAUAUUGUAGAUUCCUCUCUUCAAAUUGCUGCUAGAUGUAAGUUAGUUUCUUAAGGGCAGAGGUUUUAUCUGAUUUGUCUUUGUAGCCAUAAUGGCCAGCCAUAAUGGCCAGCAUAGGGUCUGGUACAAAGCAGACUGGGAACAUGCUUGUUGAGUGAAUGAAUGAAUGAAUGAAUGUUCAGUACCCAGCGUAUGGUUGAGUCUUUUGCAGCUACCAAUUCUCAGUGGCUAAAAUGGCAGCCAUGACUCGGAAGAAAAGGGACUAUCUUUGAAACCCAAUAUUGUAAUUUGAAUCCUACCCCUGCUACUUCCUAGUUGCACUGCCCUGGGCUUUACCUCUAUGAGCCCCUAGUUCCUCAUAGAUAAAAUGUGAAUGAUAUUUCCUGUCUCACUGGGUUGGUAAAUUAUAUAAACUACAUGUGAAGUGUUGGGCUGAGGUUUUGAAAAAAAAAUUAGUUCCUUAUUACCAUAUGAAGCAUAGAGAACUUGUACUUCACAAGUGUCUUUUGCCUAGAAGCAGCUGUGUACAUGACUGAAUCAGGAACCUGUGUUGGUUUGUAGAUGGAGGAGGCACACCCGAGUCCCAGUCAGGGUGCUACUAGGUCAGCUUGAUCUUUUAAGACUAAGUCAAAUGUGGGCAGUAGGUUUGGGCUGAAAUGAAGCUAAGAUGAUCACUAUAGACAUCGGGCUGCUGGUUAGGGAGUAGGAGCAUGGGAGAGGGAAGGAGAAAACAAUUCUUUUGGGUUAGUUGUCAGCUCAGAAACCCAGGAUACCCAGCUUGGGACUGCCCUCCUUAAAAACAUUCUGGCCACAGAAACCAGUCUGGGUAACCAUGACAACAAUUCAGCAGCUCCAUUUAGGAUCUCCAAAGGGAUCUACAGUUGCAGAUGAGUGCUGGCUUGAACGCUUUGCUGGCAGAAGAGAGCUACUCCGUGAAGCAUUCUCACUGGGAGCCUUUCAGGUUGCGGAGAAGGCAAGCUCUGUCCAAACAUUAAGGUACUACCAGAUAAAAACAACAACAAAA